CCUACGGGAGGCAGCAGUGGGGAAUAUUGCACAAUGGGCGGAAGCCUGAUGCAGCAACGCCGCGUGCGGGAUGACGGCCUUCGGGUUGUAAACCGCUUUCGCCUGUGACGAAGCGUGAGUGACGGUAAUGGGUAAAGAAGCACCGGCUAACUACGUGCCAGCAGCCGCGGUGAUACGUAGGGUGCGAGCGUUGUCCGGAUUUAUUGGGCGUAAAGGGCUCGUAGGUGGUUGAUCGCGUCGGAAGUGUAAUCUUGGGGCUUAACCCUGAGCGUGCUUUCGAUACGGGUUGACUUGAGGAAGGUAGGGGAGAAUGGAAUUCCUGGUGGAGCGGUGGAAUGCGCAGAUAUCAGGAGGAACACCAGUGGCGAAGGCGGUUCUCUGGGCCUUUCCUGACGCUGAGGAGCGAAAGCGUGGGGAGCGAACAGGCUUAGAUACCCUGGUAGUCCACGCUGUAAACGGUGGGUACUAGGUGUGGGGUCCAUUCCACGGGUUCCGCGCCGUAGCUAACGCUUUAAGUACCCCGCCUGGGGAGUACGGCCGCAAGGCUAAAACUCAAAUGAAUUGACGG
rnacentral:rRNA from 1 species